rnacentral:rRNA from 1 species
CAAGUCGAGCGAUGAAGCACCUUCGGGUGUGAAUUAGCGGCGAACGGGUGGGGAACACGUGAAGAAUCUGCCUUCAACUCUGGGAUAACUCCGGGAAACCGGGGCUAAUACCGGAUAUGAGCCCUGAUCGCAUGAUCGGGGCUGGAAAGUUUUUCGGUUGAAGAUGACUUCGCGGCCUAUCAGCUUGUUGGUGAGGUAAUGGCUCACCAAGGCGACGACGGGUAGCCGGCCUGAGAGGGCGACCGGCCACACUGGGACUGAGACACGGCCCAGACUCCUACGGGAGGCAGCAGUGGGGAAUAUUGGGCAAUGGAGGAAACUCUGACCCAGCGACGCCGCGUGAGGGAUGAAGGCCUUCGGGUUGUAAACCUCUUUCAGUAGGGAAGAAGCGAAAGUGACGGUACCUACAGAAGAAGCACCGGCUAACUAUGUGCCAGCAGCCGCGGUAAUACAUAGGGUGCAAGCGUUGUCCGGAAUUAUUGGGCGUAAAGAGCUCGUAGGUGGUUCGAUACGUCGGAUGUGAAAAUCAGGGGCUCAACCCCUGACCUGCAUCCGAUACGGUCGAGCUGGAGUUUGGUAGGGGAGACUGGAAUUCCUGGUGUAGCGGUGGAAUGCGCAGAUAUCAGGAGGAACACCGAUGGCGAAGGCAGGUCUCUGGGCCAAUACUGACACUGAGGAGCGAAAGCGUGGGGAGCGAACAGGAUUAGAUACCCUGGUAGUCCACGCCGUAAACGGUGGGCGCUAGUUGUGCGAACCUUCCACGGUUUGUGCGACGCAGCUAACGCAUUAAGCGCCCCGCCUGGGGAGUACGAUCGCAAGAUUAAAACUCAAAGGAAUUGACGG